ACGGUGACGGUGCGCUCGACUCCGUCGCGUUUUCGCUGUAACAUUAUUGUUGCUCGUAUUGCUGUUCGCGUAGGUGUACCGUUCGUCGUUUUUCGUUUUUUCUCUCUCUCUCGCUCUCUCUCUUUCUCUCUCUCUCUCUUCCUCUCUCUUUCCCGCGUCGUAUACGCCCCGCGUUUUCGUCUCGCGGUUUUACAUCGACGCGCACCGGUACAUACUGUUCCCCGUCCGAGUUUCGGCGUCGUGUUUUCUCCGCGCGCGGCAACGGCUACGGGAAAAACGUCGCCCCGAACCCUUCGCCGGCCGAAACAAUACGGGCACCGUAAUAGUCAUUACAAUAAUAAUAGUAACGCGUCACGGAUGUUACGCGCGGACCGGUCCG